rnacentral:rRNA from 1 species
UACGUAGGUCCCGAGCGUUGUCCGGAUUUACUGGGUGUAAAGGGCGUGUAGGCGGGGACGCAAGUCAGAUGUGAAAACCACGGGCUCAACCUGUGGCCUGCAUUUGAAACUGUGUUUCUUGAGUACUGGAGAGGCAGACGGAAUUCCUAGUGUAGCGGUGAAAUGCGUAGAUAUUAGGAGGAACACCAGUGGCGAAGGCGGUCUGCUGGACAGCAACUGACGCUGAGGCGCGAAAGCGUGGGGAGCAAACAGG